GUACUGAUGAGGAGUCCAAUAAUAAGACGAAACGGCCGUCCAGUGC
rfam:Schistosoma rodhaini strain Burundi genome assembly, scaffold: SROB_scaffold0009781